ACUUUAACCUUUGUUAUUGUGGUUGUUUUUUAAUUUAAUUAACAGGUAGACCCUCUCUUGCCUUUGCAGAGGCCAAUCACACUCCCGGAUCUCUGCCAAGAAAACCCUAAAGGAUGUCAUAAAAAGUCAGACGCAACCAAACAACAACUUCUUAAGCUACCACUGGCAGAGAACAAAGUCAGAGCACUCUAUCCUUUGGGAUUUUACAAUAUUCAAAUAUGGAACUUUGAAACCACCUUCUAUAAUCACAGCCUCUGGAAGCCAGGAAAGAAAGGCCAGCUACUCACUCACCCAAGACAGACUCCAAAGGAAAAGAUCCAGGAACAGUCCUCCCAGAAGCAGUCCAAGAACUAAAGUCUCAGUCCAAGUCAACUCACCAGGAGAAGAUCCAAGCCAAAGAUCAAAGAACAGUCCCAAAAGCCAACGUCACCUCCAAGAGGCAAGUCAGUAGCCCAAACUCCAAGCUGAAGAUUCAAGCUGAAGACCCCUUGGUCAGGAAGUUCAGGACUUUUUAUGGACCUUUUUCCAUGUCACUUCCUGUCCCUUCCUUCACCUUACGUGAACCAAUUGCAGUCUUCAGAUUUGCUUAGCACUGCCCAGGGGCAGGGCAGUCAAGUCUGGGGUUGUCACCUCUGACGGUGUAAACUCUUAUCAAAGGA